CCUCAAAAUUCAAUGACCAACAUCAUGCAACUGUAAAAACAAAAAUUUCCCCAUUUCUUUUCAUUUCCCAUUUCCUUGAAUGAAAAACUCAAGGGAUAAAAUAUAAAUACUAGAAGUGAGAAGCAAUACAGGAACAUGUUUGUAUACAAUUCAAGAACACAAAAUAGAGAUUCUUUAUGGGCACAAAUCAUUAAUGUUAAAACAAGAUAGAAUUAUGGGCAGUUGAAUUCCAUUCCUAAAAGAAGAAAAACAAAUAAAAGGCGC
rnacentral:misc_RNA from 1 species